GACCGAAUGGCGUAGUGGUUAGUGACCCUGACUACUGAUACUGAGCCGAUGGUCCCGGGUUCGAUUCCCGGCUGGGGCA
rnacentral:tRNA from 1 species